UACGUAGGGUGCGAGCGUUAAUCGGAAUUACUGGGCGUAAAGCGUGCGCAGGCGGUUUUGUAAGUCUGACGUGAAAUCCCCGGGCUUAACCUGGGAAUUGCGUUGGAGACUGCAAGGCUGGAGUCUGGCAGAGGGGGGUAGAAUUCCACGUGUGGCAGUGAAAUGCGUAGAGAUGUGGAGGAACACCGAUGGCGAAGGCAGCCCCCUGGGUCAAGACUGACGCUCAUGCACGAAAGCGUGGGGAGCAAACAGG
rnacentral:rRNA from 1 species